rnacentral:rRNA from 1 species
AUGAUUUAUGUAGGAGCAAGCACUGAUUUCAGGAAACAGUUGUUACAGACAUUCCAUUCAUCUGCUUUGGGAGAGCAUUCUGGUAGUAAAGCUACUUACUACAGAUUAAAGAAAGUGUUCUAUUGGCCCAACAUGAAGAAACACAUAGAGGAAUUUGUCAGCCAGUGUCCUGUUUGCCAAUUGAACAAGGUUGAACACAUUCACCCUCCUGGACUGCUACAACCACAUCAUGUGCCUGAUAUGGCCUGGGCACACAUCACAAUGGAUUUCAUCACUACAUUACCAAAUUCACAGGGAAAAGAGGUCAUUCUAGUAGUGGUGGACAAAUUAACCAAGUACUCCCAUUUCAUACCUCUCGCAUGUCCUUUCACAGUUCAAACUAUGUUUGAAGCUCUAAUGGACAAUGUCAUCAAACUACAUUGUCUGCUUAUCUGCAUUGUUCCUGACAGAGUCACCAUUUUCACAAGCAAUUUGUAUCAAGAAUUGUUCCAAGCUUUUGGUGUGAAGAUCAGAUUCAGUACAGCUUCUCAUCCUCAAAUAGAUGACCAGACAAAGAGAGUGAAUCAAUAUUUAGAAGCAUAUUUGAGAGGGAUGGUGUUCCAAGAACCAAAGAAAUGGUUGAAGUGGUUGCCUUUAGCUGAAUUGUGGUACAAUACCAGUUACCAUUCUUCUUUGAAAUGUACUCCUUUUCAAGCAUUAUAUGGGUACAAACCACCUCAAGUGAGAGAGUUUGCUGUAGAGAGAACCCUGUCUCCAACAACAAGAUUAACAAUGGCAGAAAGGGAGCAAAUGAUGCAAAAGCUGAAAGCUAACUUGGAACAUGCACAGAGCAGGAUGAAACAUUUUGCAGAUAGAAACAGAACAGAAAGAACAUUUGAGGUGGGAGACAUGGUAUAUUUAAAGAUCCAGCCAUUAGACAGAAUGGUUUUGGUCUCAGAGGAUCACUGA